rnacentral:lncRNA from 1 species
CAAUUUUCACAAGGACUUACUGUACCAUGGUCAGAGACUUUACAUUCCAUCAACAACCAAUCUCCCCCCAUCUGCAGGGCAUUCCGGUCUCAAAGCCACUCUAGCUCAUUUAGCUGCCUCUUUCUAUUGGCCAGGUAUGUACAUGGACACAAAAACGUUCAUCAGAGAGUGCCUUCCCUGUCAACAGAACAAACCCAUCAACACAAAACCCCUAGGAUUAUUACAACCCAUACCCCCUCCAACCAGAAUCUGGGAUGAACUAACAACUGAUUUUAUCACUCACUUACCAUCAUCGUUCGGCCAUACAGUUAUUUGGGUGGUCUGUGAUCAACUUUCAAAAUCAGCUCAUUUCAUAGCCCUCCCCACGUCCUUCACCGCCUCUCAACUAGCCAACCGUUUUUCUGUGGAGAUUUGCAGGUUGCAUGGCAUUCCGAAAUCCAUAAUCUCAGACCGAGACCCGCUCU